GUGUGCUGCAGUUAAGCCUGUUGUCCAGGGAACAGAGGCCUAGAGGGUUAGCUCCCAAGGCUGCACAGCAGGUGCCUAGGGGAGCUGGUUUGGGGCCCUGGCAGCCUGACUUAAAAGCUGGUGCUCUCCAGGAUAUAACAGGCGAGUAAUUGAUACUUCUUAAAAUGAGGAGGAAAUGGUGCUCGGUUAUCUCAGAUGAAUCUGACAGAAUAUGCGCUCUUUCAUCCAUAAUUAAAUGUGGAUGUUGAAAGGAGAUGUGCCUUCUUCCGAAAGAUAGCUGGCCUGAUCUCUUCCGACGUAAUGCUGUCAUGUUAAAAGAGGACCUUGUGGAUGAAAGGCUACUCGGGAGACCUGGCCGCCCCCUGCAGCGCGUGCUGAGUGAUUGGAUCCCAGCUGCUUUCAUGGCCGUUCUUCUUGGAUGCUUGGGAUAGUUUGUAGACCGCCUAUUAGCUAAUAAUGGACCAAUGUUGCCUUUCUUAGGUGUGGUAAUUUCACUGCCGUUAAAAGAAUGUCCUUAUUUCCAGGAGAUUCAUGAUGAAAUUUUGGGGGUGAAAUUGGUUGCUGGAGCUUAUUUGUAUGUAGAUCACCCAGAAGUAUUUUUUUUUAAGACCAAGUCUUAUUCUCUUGUCCAGGCUGGGGUGCAGCGGUAUGAUCUCAGCUCACUGCAACCUCUGCCUCCUGGUUCAAGCUAUUUUCCUGCCUCAGCCUCCUGAGUAGCUGGGACUACAGGUGUGAGCCACCACGCCUGGCUAAUUUUUGUAUUUUUAAUAGAGACGGGGUUUCACCAUGUUGGCCAGGUUGGUCUCGAACUCCUGACCUCAGGUGAUCCACCUGCCUCGGCCUCCCAAAGUUCUGGGAUUACAGGCGUGAGCCACCGCGCUCGGCCAGUAUUUUUUAUGUAUAGAAAAAAGUGCUGAGGCUCCAAGUGAAGGGUAGAGAGGUGUGCAUUUUGCAAUUCAACUUUUCUAUACAUUUGGAAUUUUUUUAAAUGAAAGAUAAGAAAAUGUUCACUGAUGAAUGUAUAAACUAAAUAUAGUAUAUCCAUACAAUGGCAUAUUUUUCAGCCAUUAAAAAAGAAAUGAAGUACUGAUGAGCCUUGAAAACAUUCGGCUGCAUGAAGGAAGCCAGACACAUAAGGCCCCAGUUGUGUGAUUCCAUUGAUGUGGAAUGCCCGGAAGAGGCGAGUCCACAGAGACUGGAAGUAGAUUAAGGGUUGCCACGGGCCAGGAGAGGGGCGUGGGACUGACUUAAAGGGAACAGGAGUUCCUGUUGGUGUGAUGAGAAUGUGGACUUGGAUGGCAGUGAUGGCUGUACAUCUCUGAAUAUACUAGACACUACUGAAUUGUACACUUUUGAAGGGUGAAUUUUAUGGUAUGUGAAUCAUAGUGAAAAAACAUUUGAAGGGAAAAGUACCCUUAUGCCAGGGUGCUUGCCCGUGACCAGGUGGCAGGUCCCCCUCCAGGUGCGGCUGCUUCAUGGCAGGAGGCCUGGCUGGGGACCCUGAGGUGUGCAGGCCUGAAGUACACUCUGUUGUGCCCCAGGCGAGGGUUAAUUUGUCCUGGUUUGGUCCUUUUCAUUUAGAGGAAACCUGUUUGUAUUUUUAAGGUGCUUUUUAUGGUUCUUUGUCACUUACCUCUUCAUCUCCCAGGUAGAGCCUCUGGGAAACAUUCUGAUAGGAGAGACAAUGGGGUGAGGCUGCAUAGCUUUGAGAAGGAGGCCUAGUUGGCUUCUGAAAGAGGAUGUGUGAGCUGUGAGUCCAAGGGAGACGUAUGUUCGUGUAAAUCAUGUCAGGCCGUAUCUUCCCCCAGUGUUUCACCUUUUUCAAAGGUCACAAUCGUUCUUGGUGGAUGGAUUAUUUGAAAUAGUGACCUGAAAGACGAAAAUCUUAUGUUACAGAUGAAAAGAGCAAAUGAUGCAUUUUUUUUUUUUCUAGAGGAAAAACUGACACCCCAUUUUAAGGAAUUCUUCUGUCAGCCAACUGUUUGGUAUGCUGUACACAAUUCUAUUCUUUUAGCUUUUCUUCUCCAAAUUGAUUUUGGUGGUAUCUUUUGGCCAGUCAUGUGAAAACCUUGUUUACCCUUGGUAGGGCACGUAGCUGCAGCUCACACAGUGAUGUCAUGCAAACGAUGGGCAGGAGGUUGUGGCCUGCUCGCCAGGGGCUGGGAAGCAUGUGAUGUCCCUUCACAGCAGCCAGGUUCCCUUGGUACAGAAAUGCCUGCUGUGUGGUUAUUUAGGGCUUAGUAAUUUUGGCUUAUAAAGUAAUUUUGAUGGAUUACUCUUGGAGUUGGAAUAAAUUGACCACCACAAUUACACAGGAAAUGAGGAUGAAUGGCAUUUUAAGGUUAGGAUUUUCCCAGAGUAAUCAAAUGCUGAUAUUUUCAUGCUUCAUCUGAAGAGGACAUAAGUCUGAGACUGUGGGAAGAUAUGUGCAGUGUCACUGUGGGUAACGGGAAGGCCCGAGUGAGACCGUGGGAAGGUGUGUGCAGUGUCACUGUGGGUAAUGGGAAGGUCCGAGUACAUUUCAGUUAGGAAAUCAUUUGUGCCUCUAUUAAGUUUAUAUACUAUGUUUACUGGCCUCUUUUAUGCUUGUCAAAAAAUUACUUUUUGUUUGUUAUUUUUUCGCACUUCUAGUUUUGUUUUCUCAGUAACCAUUUCUCUGCUCACAUUUUUCAUUUUUCUUCCUGGUCCAUGUCUAGUAUAGCAUGAGAAUUGGUGUCCACUGUUGAGCAAUAUUUAAAUGCAUUGUGUCCUAGUGAAGAAGUGUCUUAGAUGUCUGUGAAGUUCUCACCUCAAACUCUUUAUUCAGUAGAGAUGUCUGCAUUUGGUCUAGGACCUCUGUUCAGUAUUGUAAUAGAUAAGAGAAAAGUUUAAACUCUUGAGAAUAAGUGAUUUUCUUUUAAAUUUAGAUUUUUCGUUUGAAGUGGUGUUACUAUAUAUAAUUAAUUACCUGCCACCAUAGUGGCCAUGCUUAAUCAUUUGGACUUCAAACAAAUCUCUUUUUGAGGAGCACACAAUUUUUUUUCUUUUGCUCUAUUUCCUUUAGAGAGGAACACACAAUUUUAACUAUAAAUUUUACUCCUCUGAUUUAAUCUUUAAAAAAUAGAGUUUAAAAUACCAUAUCAAAUAUAUGACUGCUAAAAAGAUGCAUGUGCUUAUUACAUACCAUAUCUUUUUUUUUCUUUUGAGACAGGGCCUCUGUCGCUUAGGCAGGAGUGCAGUGGUGCCAUCACAGCUCACUGCCACCUCCUCCCCAGUUCAAGGGAUCCUCCCACCUCAGUCUCGCAGGUAGCUGGGACUGUAGGCGCACACCACCGCACCUGGCUGAUGUUUGUAAUUUUUUGUAGAGAUGGGGGUCUGUCUGUGUUCCCAGGCUGCUCUCAAACUCCUAGACCCAAGCGGUCUGCCUGCCCUGGCUUCCCAAAGUGCUGGGAUUCCAGACCUGAGCCACCAUGCCCAACCGUAAUUGGUUGUUUUGGCCCCAUUGAGAAUGUGUUAUUCAGUAGAGCAGAUUGUUCUAUGGAUCCAGAAACUAGAUCUAUUAUUAGAAUAAGAAUUUUCUAACUCUUUCAUAACCUGUGACUUAAGAAUGAGACAGUAGAAGUUUUUAAGACAGCAAGAGAGUCUUUUUAUGAGAUCCAGUAUCAGCCUCUCAUAAGUUUGUUAAAAAUAAAUUUAUGAAAUGAAACUCACUAGAAAUGUCUCUGUCUAGUACAGGGUUCAUUUGCACAGUAUCUUAUUUAGACGUAAAAAUCCAGGUGGGCAGAGAAGGCUUCUGGUGUGUCUGCCCCCAAAUGACCUGUUCCCACCGCUUGGGCUCCAUUGAAGUAGCCUCGUGAACUCCAUAAGCCUAGAUGUUGCGUUAUUACCUCAGUGCUUUUGUUUGAGUCCAGGAAGUCAGUGAUUUUUGAGCCUUUUGGAAAUCCCACCCUUAUCAGAAUUUCUCCGAUUCCAUUGAUAGCCUGUCUAAUCUAAAAAUAGCAUGUGGUUUUAUCUUUAGUCUAUAAUUUCCUCUUUGCUUCAAGUUUACUGAGAUCUCUGAUUCUCAGGAGACCAGAUACAAUUGGUGUGGGUGGUGACUUGGCCUCACUGAACAAAUGUCUCUCUUUGGGGCCUAAGCAUAUUUGUGGGGUGCCUCAUGGUACUUGCAUGUAGCUCAGUAAGGCAUGGAGCUUUAUAACAUUGGUUCUAAAACUUACCUGUGAGUAGAAGUCACCUGGGAAGUUGCUUGAAAUGCAGAUUCCUGGGCCUGGGCCCCAGAGACCGUGAUUCAGUAGGUCUGGAGCGUGGGUCCUGUGACUGUGUUUGUUUUUUGUUUGUUUGUUUGUUUGAGAUGGAGUUUCACUCUUGUCAACCAGGUACAGUGGCACAGUCUCGGUUCACUGCAACCUCCAUGUCCUGGAUUCAAGCGAUUCUCCUGCCUCAGCCUCCCAAGUAGCUGGGAUUACAGGUGCCCACCACCAUGCCUGGCUAAUUUUUGUAUUUUUAGUAGAGACGGUGUUUCACCAUGUUGGCCAGGCUGGUCUCGAACUCCAUACCUCAAGUGAUCCACACGCCUCAGCCUCCCAAAGUGCUAGGAUUAUAGGCGUGAGCCACCAUGCCCAGCGGACUCUGUUUUUAAAGAGCAUUCCAGGUUAAAGAUCGAGGUCCGGAAGCCACUAGGAGAUUUUUUAAUUGGUUUUAUUGGAGCAUUAACCUGGGAGCGAUCCUGUCGUUAGGUGGCAUUGCCUAUAUUCAGCAGAACGUCAGCUUUGUCACUGGUUAUGCGAUCCCCACUGUCUGCGUCGGCCUUGCUUUUGUGGUCUUCCUCUGUGGCCAGAGCGUUUUCAUCACCAAGCCUCCUGAUGGCAGUGCCUUCACCGACAUGUUCAAGAUACUGACGUAUUCCUGCUGUUCCCAGAAGCGAAGUGGAGAGCGCCAGAGUAAUGGUGAAGGCAUUGGAGUCUUUCAGCAAUCUUCUAAACAAAGUCUGUUUGAUUCAUGUAAGAUGUCUCAUGGUGGGCCAUUUACAGAAGAGAAAGUGGAAGAUGUGAAAGCUCUGGUCAAGAUUGUCCCUGUUUUCUUGGCUUUGAUACCUUACUGGACAGUGUAUUUCCAAAUGCAGACAACAUAUGUUUUACAGAGUCUUCAUUUGAGGAUUCCAGAAAUUUCAAAUAUUACAACCACUCCUCACACGCUCCCUGCAGCCUGGCUGACCAUGUUUGAUGCUGUGCUCAUCCUCCUGCUCAUCCCUCUGAAGGACAAACUGGUCGAUCCCAUUUUGAGAAGACAUGGCCUGCUCCCAUCCUCCCUGAAGAGGAUCGCCGUGGGCAUGUUCUUUGUCAUGUGCUCGGCCUUUGCUGCAGGAAUUUUGGAGAGUAAAAGGCUGAACCUUGUUAAAGAGAAAACCAUUAAUCAGACCAUCGGCAACGUCGUCUACCAUGCUGCCGAUCUGUCGCUGUGGUGGCAGGUGCCGCAGUACUUGCUGAUUGGGAUCAGCGAGAUCUUUGCAAGUAUCGCAGGCCUGGAAUUUGCAUACUCAGCUGCCCCCAAGUCCAUGCAGAGUGCCAUAAUGGGCUUGUUCUUUUUCUUCUCUGGCGUCGGGUCGUUCGUGGGUUCUGGACUGCUGGCACUGGUGUCUAUCAAAGCCAUCGGAUGGAUGAGCAGUCACACAGACUUUGGAGACAAGCAGGCCUCUCUUCUCAUCCCAGGGGCCAAGCCUGCCCUGGCCACAGCCCAGCGAGCAGCUGCUGCAGCCACCGCUCCUUACGGGGACGUCCUUGACAGACAAGCACCUUCUCCACGCCCGUCCAGCUCAGUCUUCGUGAGGCAGCUGAAUCUGUACCCCAAGCUUCCCUUUCUUUAACUUGGUGGUGUACUUUCGUUUUCUUUUCCUAACAGCACCUUUUCUGAUACGAAAAAGACAAGAUAGAUAGUAAGUUACUUUUAAAAAUAAACAUAUUACUUGUGAUCAAUCAUAAUGGGUUUUUACAAUUAAUACCAGUAGGUGGCAUCUUGAGUGUUGAACAGAACCACUCAUAAAAGCUGAGUUUUGCUUUCUCCAGGUUUACGAUGCCUUUAAAUGGACCCAGCAAGCGAAGGUUUCUUCUUUCUUUUCCUUUGUAAAAAUAUUUUAUCUACAGAAACAACCUUGUUACUUUUUCUUGUAUAAUCAUGUGGCAUUUGCUCUGGUCCGGUAGUACUUAGCCACUUUUAGGUUACAAAUCCCCUUGAGAAUCUGGUGAACGUUUAGGGACUUUUCUGCAGAAAUUGCAGAAUUCCCAGAGCCCUUCCAUGAGUAUAGGCCUGUGGAGUCCUAAUGUAAAGCCCAGAACUCCAAGCCACCAAUGUCCCAUGGACACUUGUCACUGAUGUUUUCUGGCUGUGGGUGCCACCUCCAUGGCCAGCUCAGGGCUGCUUGCUCUGAGGAGGACAUGUGGAUUUGGGGCUGGUGUUUCAUUCCCACCUUCUCCUGAAGAUGAACAGCCCGAGGAAUAAGAUCCUCUUGUGGUACAUGGGACAGACUUCCUUCAAAGAAAGACCAAAGUCCAUAGUUCUGAAGACGAAGAUUCUGGUUCUUGGUUUUUGUUUUAUCUUUAAAUGUGUCAUAAAGGAUUGGCUGGUCAUUCUCGUUGCUUUCUAGUCAUUUAAUCCUCAUUCUUAAUUUAAUUUCACAUCUCAGAGUUGACCUUUCAUUCAUCAUUUCUGUCUGACAGGUUGUUUGUGGACUUCCCCUGCAUUGGUGCUCUCAGGGCGUGUGUGCUGGGGAUGGGCCAGGAUCUGUCUGUUGUUUUCAAGAAUGGGAAAUGUUUCAUGAAGGAGGCGUGUUUGCCAGCAGCCCCCAGGCUGUGCCCCCUGGCUGCAUGGCAGCCUCCUUGGUUCACACCAGUAAGGAGAGUUGGAGCUCAUCUGUCGAGCAGCCCUUGGCGUCCUGGGUAGAGAAAUAAAGGCUGUGACAUGGGAAAUCCACAGGAAGCCCGCUCCUCAGAGAGAGUUCUCCCUGAAUUUGUGUGGCCUUGGAAGGAGCAGCAGCUCUCAGGCCAGGUUCCGGGGGUGUCUGUGCCACCCUUAUCCCUGGCCCUACCUCACCAUCUCGUGACCGACACAGGAAAUAGCUUUCUGUAAAGUCACAGCACUGUGAAGGGAGAGUCCCCAGAGUUUUGUUACAUUGUGUUUUUCUUACCGACCUCCCAGCAGGCUCCUUUUAUUAGUGUUAUUUAAGCUGGGGAGAACGUGCAUACCAUAGUAAAGGUCUCUAAUCUUAAGCACAGCUUGCUGUGUUUGCAGUCUGGAUCUCAGUGGAGGAACUUUUGGAAGCCCUCCUUGCCUCUCUCCUUAGUUUACUGCCCCCCUCAGAAGGUAAACCUGUUCUAUUCCAGCGUUGGUCCCCACAGGUUACCCUCGCCUGUCCUGUGCUGGGCUGUGGCUGUCUCCUUUCACUUAGCACUUCUGUCUGUGAGCAUCUCCCCUGUACUUCUGAGUACUGCUCCUUCGUACGAGCCGUCACGAGGCAUUUAUCCAUGCUGUUGUCGGUGGGUGCCCAGAUGUUGGCAGUGUGGGGCUGUUGUGAAUACCUGCCCUGCCUGUGAGCCUGGGGGGCGGGUGCGCUCAUUCCUUGGGGACCCAAGAGUCUGUCUUGUCAAAUGUCAAAACCCUAGUGUUUGCCAUCUUCCUGUGUAAUUAUCCUUCUGUCUGUGAAGAGGCCCAGGAAUGCACGGCAGGUUUUCUCCCAGGCGACUUAGGCGUUUCCGAAUACCCUGUGUAAUGCCACCCUGAGACAGACCCUGACGAGGCGUGGUGUGUCUGCCUGCGGGCUUGGACCGCACCUCCACUCCCGCAGGGCCGCGCAGCCUUCAGUUCAUGUGGCCUCAGCCUUCAGUUCACGUGGCCUGCCAGCUUUAGCUCGGGAAGUUUUCAGUGACUGGUACAUUUGGGGAGACUCGUAUUUCAAAAUAGGCACAUAAAAUGAUGUCGUUUAUAUUUUGAUGACAACCUCGUCUCAGUAGCGUCAAAUGCCAGUGUUGGGACAGCAGUGACAGCUAGUGCCAGGCUCCAGGAAGCUGGGGUUUGCAUUUCCACUGAGUGCCCAGGACAGAGCCUGGUAGGUCGUAAGGGUUGAACGAAUAGUGUAAAACAUCUGUUGAAAAAAUAAAGCUUUAGUCUGGUAGAAUUCAGGGUAUUAGCAGCUGUCUUUCUAAAUCAGUAGACACAGGAAAUGAUCUUCUUUAAUUGGUGUGAAUGAGCACUCUUUAAAAAUGUGUGAGAUCUCACCAUACAGAUGUGUGGGUUUUUUUUUUUUUUUUUUUUUUUUUUUUUGAGAUGGAGUUUCACGUUUGUUGCCCGGGCUGGAGUGCAGUGGUACCAUCUUGGCUCACUGCAGCCUUUCACCUCCCGGGUUCAAGUGACAAUUCUCUGGCCUCAGCCUCCCAAGCAGCUGAGAUUACAGGCGCCAGCCACCACGCCUGGCUAAUUAUUUGUAUUUUUAGUAGAGACGGGGUUUCAUCGUGUUGGCCAGGCUGAUUCUGAAUUCCUGACCUCAGUUGAUCACCCACCUUGGCCUCCCAAAGUGCUGGGAUUACAGUCAUAAGCCACUGCGCCUGGCCCAGACGUGUAUUAUAUUGUGUUUAUUUGAUAAAUGCACUGUUGAACAUGCAGUAUAUGUUCAGAUAGAAAAAGGAAGUGCCAGAAUAACCCAGCUUUAAAAAGGUCUUCAGAAGAAAGGAAGUCUCACUUUUUAAAAUAAACAAAUGAGAAAGUGUUUUUGAAGAGGAGCAGAAAAUGGAGCAACUUGAUUCCAGAGCACUCGCUCCCCUCGUGAUGUUGCCGGCCACACGCACCUGCGACCUCGUGCAGAAACGUGCAGCAGUGCUUUCCAGCUGGUGGCAGGUGAUGUACAUGGUACGGAGACAGAGGGACGCCAUGGUGGCAGGAGCAGCCGUGGUGGAGAGCACAGGGCGACACUCGGCUUGGCCUGGAUGACCAGUCAUGACGAGCUAAAAGUCCUGCCGUUUUCUGCUCACACGUCGUUCCCACGUCUGCACAUUGAGUGGUGAUGUUAGCCGGUGCUGGCUGAACUCUGUUCUCUGGCGGAGAGACUGCCAGUUUGCAGAGUGGACAGUUCCAGACCUCUGUGAAAGGGGGAUCAUGACCGUGGCACGUGUUGCUAGCACCCUCACCGCGUCCAGACUCCCUCUUGAGUGCCUUUCUGAAAUGCUGCUCCUCGGCGCUUUCCCCAUUUUACAGAUGAGGAAACUGAGCACAGAGGUCUCAGAGGCCGGAUUCAAGCCUUAUAGCUUGAGCUGCAUGGCCCAUGAUCUUAUCCUCUGUGCUGUCCAGCCUGCUUGGGAUGCAGACGUUGCGUGUAAAGUGCCUCCAUAGUGCCCGGGACUCGGUUGGGUAUUCAGUGUAUGCUAACUCUUUGUAUUAAAGUAUGCAGAGGUAUCUGCUUGUGUCAGUUUGAGGAUGCUAAAACCUGAACAUGUUUAAGACACAUUCAGAAACCAGCUCAUCUCUUCCUUUGAUACAUUGCCCAGCUGUCGGCCCUGGUGUGUUGGGUGUGUCAGUGACCCAUGCAGUGAAUCCAGAAUUCACGAUGUUCAGGCUGUGUCAUAGUGCAAUCUGUGAUGCUAAAAAGUGCACAGGUUCCAUAGCCAAGUUACAAAGACGCUCACCUCAGGAUUCGAUAAAGAGAUAGUCAGGCGCUCUUUUGUUAUCUUCGCAUCUGCCUUCCUCAACAAUGCAGUUCCAGGCCAAUCAUAACUAUAAAUGGAGGAAGUUCCCCUGAAGUAGUUGAGGAGAGGAACACUGCCUCAGAAAAGGCAGGAAGGAAAUAACACCAGACCGGCUAACACUUGUUUCUGGUGGCAAGAACACAGGAAGGUAAUAUUAACGGCUGCUAUUUGAACUAUUACUUUUUUCUUCUGGCUGCUAUUCAAGGAGCUACCCUCCUGCUUUUCCUCAUUAUUUCUGUGAAAUAUGACCAUCAUCGAGACCAUCAGCGAUCAAGAGCCAAUGGCGUGCCCACCAGCAGGAGGGCCUGACCUUCCUGAGGCCAUGUGCGGUUUCUGAGGCUGACAUGUCAGUAACUGACUGGGGUGCACUGAGAACAGGCAAGACUUUAAAUUCCCAUAAAAUGUCUGACUUCACUGAAACUUGCAUGUUGCCUGGAUUGAUUUCUUCUUUCCCUCUAUCCAAAGGAGCUUGGUAAGUGCCUUACUGCAGCGUGUCUCCUGGCACGCUGGGCCCUCCGGGAGGAGAGCUGCAGAUUUCGAGUAUGUCGCUUGUCAUUCAAGGUCUCUGUGAAUCCUCUAGCUGGGUUCCCUUUUUUACAGAAACUCACAAAUGGAGAUUGCAAAGUCUUGGGGAACUCCACGUGUUAGUUGGCAUCCCAGUUUCUUAAACAAAUAGUAUCACCUGCUUCCCAUAGCCAUAUCUCACUGUAAAAAAAAAAUUAAUAAACUGUUACUUAUAUUUAAGAAAGUGAGGAUUUUUUUUUUUUUAAAGAUAAAAGCAUGGUCAGAUGCUGCAAGGAUUUUACAUAAAUGCCAUAUUUAUGGUUUCCUUCCUGAGAACAAUCUUGCUCUUGCCAUGUUCUUUGAUUUAGGCUGGUAGUAAACACAUUUCAUCUGCUGCUUCAAAAAGUACUUACUUUUUAAACCAUCAACAUUACUUUUCUUUCUUAAGGCAAGGCAUGCAUAAGAGUCAUUUGAGACCAUGUGUCCCAUCUCAAGCCACAGAGCAACUCACGGGGUACUUCACACCUUACCUAGUCAGAGUGCUUAUAUAUAGCUUUAUUUUGGUACGAUUGAGACUAAAGACUGAUCAUGGUUGUAUGUAAGGAAAACAUUCUUUUGAACAGAAAUAGUGUAAUUAAAAAUAAUUGAAAGUGUUAAAUGUGAACUUGAGCUGUUUGACCAGUCACAUUUUUGUAUUGUUACUGUACGUGUAUCUGGGGCUUCUCCGUUUGUUAAUACUUUUUCUGUAUUUGUUGCUGUAUUUUUGGCAUAACUUUAUUAUAAAAAGCAUCUCAAAUGCGAAAUCCA